GAUGAACGCUGGCGGCGUGCCUAAUACAUGCAAGUCGAGCGAAUGGAUUAAGAGCUUGCUCUUAUGAAGUUAGCGGCGGACGGGUGAGUAACACGUGGGUAACCUGCCCAUAAGACUGGGAUAACUCCGGGAAACCGGGGCUAAUACCGGAUAACAUUUUGAACCGCAUGGUUCGAAAUUGAAAGGCGGCUUCGGCUGUCACUUAUGGAUGGACCCGCGUCGCAUUAGCUAGUUGGUGGGGUAACGGCUCACCAGGGCAACGAUGCGUAGCCGACCUGAGGGGGUGAUCGGCCACACUGGGACUGAGACACGGCCCAGACUCCUACGGGAGGCAGCAGUAGGGAAUCUUCCGCAAUGGACGAAAGUCUGACGGAGCAACGCCGCGUGAGUGAUGAAGGCUUUCGGGUCGUAAAACUCUGUUGUUAGGGAAGAACAAGUGCUAGUUGAAUAAGCUGGCACCUUGACGGUACCUAACCAGAAAGCCACGGCUAACUACGUGCCAGCCGCCGCAGUAA
rnacentral:rRNA from 1 species